rnacentral:rRNA from 1 species
CCUACGGGGGGCAGCAGUAGGGAAUUUUCGGCAAUGGGGGGAACCCUGACCGAGCAACGCCGCGUGAACGAAGAAGUUAUUCGUUAUGUAAAGUUCUUUUAACAGGGAAGAAAGAGAAAUUUGACGGUACCUGAAGAAUAAGCUCCGGCUAACUACGUGCCAGCAGCCGCGGUAAGAGGUCGGGAGCGAGCGGUAUCUGGAAUUAUUGGGCGAAAAGGGUGCGUAGAGGGAAUAGUAAGUCUUUUGUAAAAAUGCUGGGCUAAACCCAGUAGGGCAAAGGAUACUGCAAAGCUAGAGUAUGACAGAGGCACGUGGAACUACCUGUGUAGCGGUAAAAUGCGUAAAUAUAUGUAAGAACACCAGUGGCGAAGGCGGCUUGCUGGAUCGAUACUGACGUUGAGGCACGAAAGCGUGGGGAGCAAACAGGAUUAGAUACCCGUGUAGUC